rnacentral:rRNA from 1 species
AGCGAACGCUGGCGGCAGGCUUAACACAUGCAAGUCGAGCGGGCCCUUCGGGGUCAGCGGCGGACGGGUGAGUAACGCGUGGGAACGUGCCUUCUGGUCUGGAAUAACUCUGGGAAACUUGGGUUAAUACCGGAUACGCCCUUUUGGGGUAAGGUUUCCUGCCGGAGGAUCGGCCCGCGUCAGAUUAGCUAGUUGGUGGGGUAACGGCCUACCAAGGCGACGAUCAGUAGCUGGUCUGUGAGGAUGAUCAGCCACACUGGGACUGAGACACGGCCCAGACUCCUACGGGAGGCAGCAGUGGGGAAUAUUGGACAAUGGGCGCAAGCCUGAUCCAGCCAUGCCGCGUGAGUGAUGAAGGCCUUAGGGUUGUAAAGCUCUUUUAUCCGGGACGAUAAUGACGGUACCGGAGGAAUAAGCCCCGGCUAACUUCGUG